GAACAGCUUCGUAAACUGAGCAAACAUAACCAACAGCAGAUGGAAGCUAUCCAUGCCCAGCAACAACUUCUCAAAGUGAAUGAAAACAACCUCCUCCAAUUGCCUUUCCAACAAUUCUACCAACUUGAUGCUUUUCCUUUUGCCGCUUGGUAUUCUCUUCCACAAAUCAUGCAGUAUGUGGCUCUUCCACCAUCCUUCGAUAUCACUAAACUCACUGCCUCUGAGAGUACUGAAAACGUUGAUGUUGUGCCAGAGUGGUGAAAAAUUAAUACAUUCUCAGGAACUUCACAAUUAUGGCUAUGGAUGUGACUGAAACUCCCAUUCUCUAAAUUUCUCCGAUCUACCAUGUAAAACCAUCCUAUCCAAAGGCUUUGACUGUUAUGUUAGAAUAGAACAAUCCCAAAUUGAGGGCAAUCUUUCUUUUUCAGUUCUCUACUCUGUAUUAGAUAGAAUUAUCAUUAUUUUCUAAAUUUUCAUAACAGUUCCUUGUCUAAAUUCCGGUUGUAUCAUGCCAGUCUGAAGGCCACUGAAUCAGAGGGUAUCGAAGUCUUUACUAAGUUUCUAGUACAGAAAUUUUGUGUAAAAAGCCUUUGAAUCACUUCUUUUGUAAGUGCCAUCAUUCCAUAUAAUUGUGAGCAGUGACUGAGAUUUUUUCCUUUUCUUUCCAAUAAAUUAAAAUUUUAA